UCGGGUUCCCACUGCUGCCCCAUCAGAGCGCAUAGCACCCUGUACCGAGGCGGCCCGUGUCCCACGUCUCCCCCAUGGACCGGGAGCCCCGAGAGGGCUGGGCUGGCUCCGACUCGGGGCGGGUGGGGGCAGGAAGCCUCAGAAAACAGGCCCUGGAUGAACAAUCGCAUCAUCUGAAAGCCCAAGACUCCAACCCAAAUCGACCCACCAACAGACAGGCCUGAGCAGAGCUGUGUGGUUAAUGGGAGCGUGAAAACAGGUGGGCAGGGGCAAACCAGGCAGGAAACUUCUCCAAGUGCAUGACUUUUCACGGAAAACUAACGAAUAACUGUUCGGAAGCCAGCGCUGACAUGAAAAUCAUUAAAUUUAGGAACUGACCCUCGAAUCCAGAUGUUGGGAAACUGUACGUUGCAAACAGCGCGAGCAAGCGGAUCUACUAUUGCUGCUGCACCUUUCAUGAGACCUAAGGCCGGAUCAAGGAUUUCCCGCACACACGCUGGAAGACUCGGUAUGAAAAAAGGGUGUAAAACAUACCAUUAGUCGUUUUUUUAAAAUGUUGAUUACGUCUUGAAAGAACAUUUUGGAUGCACAGGGUGGAAUGAAAUUUUUAAAGUAA